rnacentral:rRNA from 1 species
UACAGAGGGUGCAAGCGUUGCUCGGAAUCAUUGGGCGUAAAGCGCACGUAGGCGGUUUGUUAUGUCGGAUGUGAAAGCCCUUGGCUCAACUGAGGAAGUGCAUCCGAAACUGGCAAGCUAGAGUACUAAAGAGGAUCGCGGAAUUCCCGGUGUAGAGGUGAAAUUCGUAGAUAUCGGGAGGAACACCGGUGGCGAAGGCGGGAUCCUGGGCCAGUACUGACGCUGAGGAGCGAAAGCGUGGGGAGCAAACAGG